rnacentral:rRNA from 1 species
GACGAACGCUGGCGGCGUGCUUAACACAUGCAAGUCGAGCGGAGCGGCGAACGGGUGCGUAACGCGUUAGUAACUGCCCCCCUCUCUGGGAUAACAGUUGGAAACGGCUGCUAAUACCGGAUAGUGGGGGAUGCCUCGCGUCCUAGCAGCUUGUUGGUGGGGUAGUGGCCUACCAAGGCGACGCCGGGUAGCCGGCCGGAGAGGGCGACCGGCCACAUUGGGCUGAGAUACGGCCCAGACUCCUACGGGAGGCAGCAGGUGGGAAUAUUGCACAAUGGGGGAAGCCCUGAUGCAGCAACGCCGCGUGCGGGAUGACGGCCUUCGGGUUGUAAACCGCUUUCAGCCAUGACGCGGUAGUGGCAGAAGAAGCACCGGCUAACUACGGGCCAGCAGCCGCGGUAAUUC